rnacentral:rRNA from 1 species
UACGUAGGGUGCAAGCGUUGUCCGGAAUUACUGGGCGUAAAGGGCUCGUAGGCGGCCAACUAAGUCAGACGUGAAAUCCCUCGGCUUAACCGGGGAACUGCAUCUGAUACUGGAUGGCUUGAGUUCGGGAGAGGGAUGCGGAAUUCCAGGUGUAGCGGUGAAAUGCGUAGAUAUCUGGAGGAGCACCGGUGGCGAAGGCGGCAUCCUGGACCGGCACUGACGCUGAGGAGCGAAAGCCAGGGGAGCAAACGGG